GCAGCAACACUCACUGCACACGCUCUCCGUCCUGUGCUCCGAAGACGCACGGACGGAUGGGCGGGCAGUGCGUGUCGAUGUCACGCCUCCAUCACCUGACACGGAACUAGGUCUCCGUGCGGUGUAUUGGUAUACCAUCCACGAGGGGUUACAGGAGUCAAACGGCGCCGCAUCAUUGGGCGGUUACCCCGCACCAAUGCAGACGCCUCCCUUCUCCUCCCCCUCGUAUGCGUGUCUCUGGGCGGGUAACAUUGGGGGGUGGUCCCUAUAAGAGGGUGUAACCUAUGGCAGGUACAGGCAUUUGGCUCUUCACAUGUCAUCACUCCAUGCAGCACACUCGGAACUCACAGCCAUCAUUCCUUACCGACCACAGUGCAUUCAAUACACUAUGCCUCAUGCCUGUGCCACCUGGGUGCGCUCUCCUGACGGGCCCUGCACCCCUCAUUCUCCAGCCCUAGUCCCCGGCAGUGACCACCCCAAUCCUGGGGUCCAUCCGGAGCUUCACUCUAGUGCCGGAGGCAAUCGGCAACCUGAUAACCAAUGUAAUGCAUGCCUGCUCCUGAUGAGCGACCA